rnacentral:lncRNA from 1 species
AUCUCUGAGUUAGAAUAAACUGUUAAGACUAAAAACUUACUCAUUUUACCUUUCACCAUGGGGCUUGUAACCGCCAUUUGUGUCUUGAGCAGUUAAAAGAUAGAACGGUCAAGUCAAGCGCCAUGUCUCUUAUUCUUGAUCAACUAUAGCUCUGGAGUUUUUGCAGAUUUUCAAAUAAAACUCAGAGAUUCCUUAUAUGAUUCUCUCAAAUCUCUCUUUUGUGGUAUUUCUGGAUCCUUACCAAGGCAGUAAUGGUAUAUGCCUUAUCUCAAAGUAUGUGGUAUUUUUGGUAUAAUGCAUAGUGAUAUUACCUUCUCUCUCACCCUACUCUAAUAAGGUUUUGAUAUCUGGAGCUCAUAGGUGGGAGACAGCUAAUACAUACUUACAAGACAUUUAUUGCAUAGUCAAACCAUAGAUCCAGAGAAACAAGUCAAUAAGUCAAAUCAAGAUGUGCAUGUGUGGCGAAUGAAUGGUGUAUGGUGAUGAUGGUGAUAACAAUGGUUUAAAUCUAAUUCUGCUUUUGCUCUUUUUAGGGGAUACUUACCUUUCUUGCACUUUGAAGCUUUUUGAGGGGAAUGAGAUGCUCUAUAUUUUCUUUUUCUUUCUCUCUCAGGUGGGUAUCUUGUACCCCUAAUUCUACUGUCGGACACUUGUCCAUUUUUACCUCUCGUCUCACUUUUUCUUUUCUUCGAGGUUCCGGGCACUUGCCCCUUUUUAUUUCCUCGUAUAUAUUUCUCUCUCUUUUUUUCUCUUUCUCUUCUCUUUUUUUAGAGCACUCAUCUCCUGAAAUAAUGUAGCAAGUGGUAGUAACCAAAAUAACUGGAGCAUUUAUUUCACAUUGAAUAAUAGGGAUAGGAAAAUGUUUUUGGCUAUUCUCUCUCGGAUUAGGAGUAGAAUAAUUUUGGGUGAAUCUGGAGAUGGAAAUGAGUGGAUGUAUGUGGAUGCGUACUUCCGGAGUAGAAGCAGCAUAUACGAGUGAACGUGCAAGUGAAUCUUGAUUUUAACCACAUGACAAGCUCCUAAGGGUCUACACAGCUUGACCACACUCAAUGCUCAUAAGCAGUAAAAAGUAAAUGUGUGGCUCUGUUGGGUAUUUUAAACGCAAACAGAAAAAUCCGCAAGCACACGGAUACCGAUGUAGCUUUCACCAGGGAGUAUUCCAGAGUAUCGAUUUUCCACAGAGAACGUGAGUGUAGUCAUUAAGAUCCAAGAUCGCCCAAGGAUAACUAUAUAAUUAUUUUUGGUGGGAAGAGAGGAAGUUUCCUGAGAGUUCUCUAGAUGAUCUAAGAAUCAAGAAUUACUUCAAGAUUAUCUAUUUCGGGACAUCAGAACACUAACCACAGAAAGAGAUGAGAAGGGGGCUAGGAAGCUCUGACUACGGUCCUACAAACACCGAUCCGAACCAGGUGGAAUACGUCGACCGUUAGGGCUGUCACUACCCUAAGGCUACCACAACAAUCCGCAGGAUUGGGUGCAAUUCCAGGUAAUCGCAAGACUAAACACCACGUUUAAUCUAUUAAUUACUACUCUAAUGUUUCAAAGACUAGAGCACUUGAUGCAAGCGGGAAUCCAAUAAAUAACUUGAAUGUAAAUAAAAGUAAUUAGAGAACUCAGGAGUUAUGAGUUGAAGAACCUGGAGAACGAUGAAGAACGAACCAGUUGCUGCAAAAGUACAAUGUUGAGGAAGAUCCGACAGAUCCGGCUCCUCCUCCGCUCUCCUCUUCUCUCUCCCUAUUUUAUAGAUUACAACUAGAACUAACUAGAACUAGAACUAGAGGAACUAGAACUAGAACUAGAUGAACUAGAACUAGAUCUAGAUGAACUAGAGGUAGAACUAGAAGAACUAGAGGGAUCCUCUCUACUUGGAUGAAGAAUUGAAACCCUAACUUUGAUUCUGUAGAAGAGGUAUGAUCUCCAGGGGCCAGGGGGGUCUGGUUUUAUAGUCCCUUCAAGUGAAUCUGGGCCGUCGGAUCAAACCGAUAUUGAUCGCACGGUUUUCCUUGAUCCUUUAGGUCGGUGGAGCUUGGUCCGCAAAGUUGGACGUGUUUGACCACAACUCCUGGGCGGGCGCCCAAGGGGGGUGGGCGGGCGCCCUGCCCCCGGGCCUGUUCGCCUUCCCGUUCGUUCCCGUGGCUUCUGGAGUCUUCUAGAUGACGUAAAAUUGCGUGGCACGUUAAUAUCUCUGUGUCAACCCGACGUGUGGGCCUUUCUUCUGUAUGUCCUGAUAACCCCCUGCAGAAAUAGACAAACACCAAAACUUGUGUAAUUCUGUCAGAUAAAACCCUAAGUCUAGAUGUUGGUAGCAUUUGGAUCCUUUUCCAUGAUUAGUUGACGAUUAAAUGUGAGCAUUAAGGACCGUCAACAAGCUCCCCCAAGCUUAACCUUUGCUCGUCCCUGAGCAAAGAUGAACUCAAGAGUUUCUGCAGUGGUUUCAUAACUUAAAGAUACACAUGCAUUUAAACAAGAUCUCAUCUCUGGUUAGAGUAAACUAUUAAGACUUAAAACUUACUCAUUUACCUUUCACCAUGGGACUUGUAACCGUCACUUCUGUCUUGAGUAGUUAAAUGAUAGAACGGUCUAGUCAAGCACCAUGUCUCUUAUUCUUGAUCAGCUAUAGCUCUGGAGUUUUUGCAGAUUUUCAAAUAAAACUCAGAGAUUCCUUGUAUGACUCUCUCUAGUCUCUCUUUUGUGGUAUUUCUGGAUCCUUACCAAGGCAUUAAUGGUGUAUGCCUUCUCUCAAAGUAUGUGGUAUUUUUGGUAUGAGGCAUAGUGACAUUGCCUUCUCUCUCACCCUACUCUAAUAAGGCUUUUGAUAUCUGGAGCUCAUAGGUGGGAGAUAGCUAAUACAUACUUACAAGACAUUUAUUGCAUAGUCAAACCAUGGAUCCAGAAGAUCAAGUCAAUAAGUCAAAUCAAGAUGUGCAUGUGUGGCGAAUGAAUGGUGUAUGGUGAUGAUGGUGAUAACAAUGGUGAAAGCCUAAUUCUACUUAUGCUCUUUUGAGGGGAUACAUACCUUUCUUGCUCUUUUGAAACUUUUUGAGGAGAAUGAGAUGCUCUAUAUUUUCUUUUUCUUUUCUCUCAGGUGGGUAUCUUGUACCCCUAAUUCUACUGUCGGACACUUGUCCAUUUUUACCUCUUGUCUCACUUUUUUUUUCUUUUCUUUCGAGGUUCCGGGCACUUGCCCCUUUUUAUUUCCUCGUAUUUAUUUUUUUUCUCUCUCUUUUUUUUAUAUUAGAGCACUCAUCUCCUGAAAUAAUAUAGCAAGUGGUAGUAACCAAGAUAACUUGAGCAUUUAUUUCACAGGGGAAAAACAGAAAUGUUUUUGGCUAUUCUCUCCCGGAUUAGGAGUAGAAUAUUUUUAGGUGGCUCUGGAGAUGGAAAUGGAUGGAUAUAUGUGGAUGGUACUUCUGGAGUAGAAGUAGCAUGUGUGAGUGAACGUGCAAGUGAAUCUUGAUU